AUUGAACGCUGGCGGCAGGCCUAACACAUGCAAGUCGAGCGGAUGAAGGGAGCUUGCUCCUGGAUUCAGCGGCGGACGGGUGAGUAAUGCCUAGGAAUCUGCCUGGUAGUGGGGGAUAACGUCCGGAAACGGGCGCUAAUACCGCAUACGUCCUGAGGGAGAAAGUGGGGGAUCUUCGGACCUCACGCUAUCAGAUGAGCCUAGGUCGGAUUAGCUAGUUGGUGGGGUAAAGGCCUACCAAGGCGACGAUCCGUAACUGGUCUGAGAGGAUGAUCAGUCACACUGGAACUGAGACACGGUCCAGGCUCCUACGGGAGGCAGCAGUGGGGAAUAUUGGACAAUGGGAGAAAGCCUGAUCCAGCCAUGCCGCGUGUGUGAAGAAGGUCUUCGGAUUGUAAAGCACUUUAAGUUGGGAGGAAGGGCAGUAAGUUAAUACCUUGCUGUUUUGACGUUACCAACAGAAUAAGCACCGGCUAACUUCGUG
rnacentral:rRNA from 1 species